rnacentral:rRNA from 1 species
UACGUAGGGUCCGAGCGUUGUCCGGAAUUACUGGGCGUAAAGGGCUCGUAGGUGGUUUGUCGCGUUGUUCGUGAAAACUCACAGCUUAACUGUGGGCGUGCGGGCGAUACGGGCAGACUGGAGUACUGCAGGGGAGACUGGAAUUCCUGGUGUAGCGGUGGAAUGCGCAGAUAUCAGGAGGAACACCGGUGGCGAAGGCGGGUCUCUGGGCCGAUACUGACGCUGAGGAGCGAAAGCGUGGGGAGCGAACAGG